GAUGAACGCUGGCGGCGUGCCUAACACAUGCAAGUCGAGCGAUCUUCUUCGGAAGAGAGCGGCGGACGGGUGAGUAACGCGUGGGUAACCUGCCUCAUACACAUGGAUAACAUACCGAAAGGUAUGCUAAUACAAGAUGAUAUAAGAGAUUCGCAUGGAUUUCUUAUCAAAGCUCCGGCGGUAUGAGAUGGACCCGCGUCUGAUUAGCUAGUUGGUAAGGUAACGGCUUACCAAGGCGACGAUCAGUAGCCGACCUGAGAGGGUGAUCGGCCACAUUGGAACUGAGACACGGCCCAGACUCCUACGGGAGGCAGCAGUGGGGAAUAUUGCACAAUGGGGGAAACCCUGAUGCAGCAACGCCGCGUGAGUGAUGACGGCCUUCGGGUUGUAAAGCUCUGUCUUCAGGGACGAUAAUGACGGUACCUGAGGAGGAAGCCACGGCUAACUACGUGCCAGCAGCCGCGGUAAUACGUAGGUGGCGAGCGUUGUCCGGAUUUACUGGGCGUAAAGGGAGCGUAGGCGGAUUUUUAAGUGAGAUGUGAAAUACUCGGGCUUAACCUGAGUGCUGCAUUUCAAACUGGAAGUCUAGAGUGCAGGAGAGGAGAAGGGAAUUCCUAGUGUAGC
rnacentral:rRNA from 2 species